CUCUCUCUCUCUCUCUCAUAUAAACAAUUACAAAUUUUCUACCUGUUUUACAAGUUCUGCAGCCUCCACUUUCCCAUGGCCAACAUCACUCCUGCCCAGCAGUCAAGGGCAGCAGCUCCUUGCUCCCAGAACUUUCCUUUGCUUCAGACUUCACCUGGGGCCACCACAGUCAGUGCUCAUUGUGGUACUUUUGAGGCAGCUGCUUUUUCCUAAUGACUACCCUUUCCGAGUGGCACUAACACAAUGAGCAGGGUCAGGUUCAAAGUCAAUUAGAUAGCUCUCUGUGUUUGGAUACAUUCCUUACACUGAGCCCUGAAUUGGUUAAACUCUAAUCAGGAACACAGGGUACCCUGUGUGUUCCAACAGAAGAGUUUAAUCCAGAUAAUUGGUCAUAAAAUGCUGGGGUGUUAAAGGACCAAAGAAAGAAGGAGAAUAUUGAAGAAGUGGGUAGGGGGCUGUGAUGCUGAGAAUUCUGUGACACCCUUUCACAGGCCCAUACCUAGGUCACGCCUCUGAAGUUGUCACCGAGCGCUGCAUGGUUGAUGGGUUCCUUUCAUGAUUACUUAAUCAUGGAAAUUGUUAGGAGUAUCAUGGCCCCACUGUUCAUCUGUGACCUCCAGAUGUCCAAUGGUCAGGUCCUAGCACAGGUGGGUCUGUAGGCUCCUGGAGGAUCCAGUAUCUAUGUGGCUUCCUCAGCUGUUCGUUGUGGGCUGUGCCUAGCUUUUGAGCAGGGAAGAAGGGAUCUGAGGAGAUUUUUGUCAUUAUGGAAUGCAGGUUCUCUCUGGCAGUUGAGUGAUGAUGAGCCAUGCAUUCCUUUCUGAGGAAGAAGCGGUUUAAUCCUAAAGAGACUUCCAGAGGAAAAGUCUCAUUCCUCCUGUCCUUUUCAUCUUUGCUUCAGGCAAAGACAGUUGCUCUCUGGUGGUGUGGAAAUGCAGGAUGACAGCUGACAUUGUGACAAGAUGGUGUCUCUAUCCAUGUCACCUUCAAUGCUAGGUCUAAAUAUAGGUUCUCACGUAGUACUCUGAGAAAAGAAAGUUGAUUUGGCUUCCCAGUUGCUGAGGGUGGUGAGUGGAAUCCCAUAAUUAGUUGAAACAAGGAAUGUGUAUCCUGGUUAUAUGACAUAUUCUCAGAGCAUUAGAAUGGAAUGGGUUCUUUUGGCUGUUUAUUUUGCUGUCAUUACGUCUAUUGCUACAAUGUCAGCUUUGAAAAACUACAAUCAAGAAUAAACUCUAACUUUGCUAGCAGCUUGGUAUUAGAAUCUGAUUUUAAAAUAGAGCAUUCAUUUACUUGCACUGGAAGGCACAGAGCUUAACUGCAUAACUCUGGGUUUUCAAAAAUAUGCACAUAUGUAAUUUAGGAAAUACCUCAAUCAAGACAUGGAGGAUUCCCAUCAUUCUAGAAAGUUCUCCUAUAUCAUUUUCUAGCCAAGACCAUACUACCCUGUCACCAUAGGCACCCGACUUUGGUUCCUAUCACCAUAACUUUGUUUUACAUACUCUCCCUCUCUCUCUCUCUGUCUCUGUCUGUCUGUCCGCCUGUCUGUCUGUCUGUCUGUCUCUCUCUCUCUGUUUCUUCUACUCUUCUAUCUCUCUGUGCAAGUGGUAUGCGAAUGGAAUAAUGCAGGAUGGCUUCUCGCAUACCUGGCAUCUAUCAGUCAAUCUGUAUCUCACGCUGAGACUGGGCCUUGUGUGGGGGAUAGUUUGCUUUUCAUGCCUGGAAAUGUUCUUUGGAUGCAGACACCAGAGACUGUUUACCUGUCUUGCUGUUGGAGGCCAUUUGGCUUGCUUCUGGCUUGGGCUACUGUGCAUAUGGCUUCUGGAAUGAUCCUGUUCAAGUCUUCUAGGAUGCAUUUUUACUUUUCUUCAUAGCUGGCAAAGCAUGGCCUGGCUAUGUCAAGAGGUAGGUAUAUAUUUAACUUCAUAUGAAAAUUGCAGACACUUCCAAGGUUAUGAAGGAAUGUUUUACAUUCCUUCAACAUAACUGCCAGAAAGCAUGAAAGAAGCUCAUCUGUGAGCUUGGAUCUCAGAGGAAUUUCUGGAAGACUAUGGCAGAAAUGAAUGAUACUGAGAGAAGAGAAGAUAUCCCAGAGUGUCCACAGCAGGAGUUUUCUGUUUGAAUCAGAAUGGCGCCCCUAGGCUUGUGUGUUUGAAUACUUGGUCCUCCUUGGUGGAACUGUUUGGGGGAGGAUUAGGAGGUGUGGCCUUGCUACAGGGGGUGUGUCACUGGGGAUGGGCUUUUGACACUCUUGCCAUUCCCAGCCUGCUCUCUGCCUUCAGCUCGGGGUUUGAGAUGAGUGUUCUCAACUCUUCCUGCCAGCAUGCUUUUGCUCCACUCCCAUGGAUGCUAAUCGUCUGGACCUGUAACCCAACUAAAUGCUUUCUUUGAUAAGUCUCCUGGGUCAUGGUGUUUUUAUCAAGGCAAUAGAAAAGUAACUAAGACAGAUGAUGAUGUGAUUGGACUAAAAAAACAAAAGAGGGUAAGAGGCGUCUAGGAGAAAACAUGGGUGCAGCUGCACGCCCCAGGAUGAACUGAAAAUUGGUCAUCCACAGGAAAAAUACCACUUUACCCCUUCUCAAUCAGAAUCAUCCCCCAGAGAUAGUGAGUGAGGCCUCCGAAACAUUCAACGUCUCAGAGGUCAAAACAGCACCAAAUGUUUGGGAAAGAGGAACCACAGCCCAAGGCCUGAAGAACAGAGCUAAAUGGGAAAGUGAGAGGAAGAAGAAGGGAGACAGAGACAGGGAGAGUGGAGAAAAGGGGAGCGUGAAGAAAAGGGGAGAGUGGAGGGAGAGAGAGUUUUAAUCCAUGCGAGGAAUAUCUUUGCACCUUUGGCUGAGGAGCUUUGGCAGCUGAAGGUUCCUGGCAGAGGCAGUCAGUUUUCUCCCGGGCUGUGACCCCUGGUAGGUUGCCCUUGCUUCUGUGGAUGAUCUUACACCUGUAGCAGGAAUCUUAAAAGGUCUUAUCAACAAAAACAAACCCAGAGCCAGGUAUUGGGGUGAAUGCUGGAAGAUAAGAGAAGCAGAACAAGCUACAGCCACCUCACCUCGCCAGUUCCUCAGCUUAUCUGUUUCCUCAGACUGGAAGCCUCUGAGUCCUCAUCCAAAUGGAUCUCAGCUGAACUGCUCAAAAGCCUAAAAGGUUAACCAGCUCUAGUUCCUGGUCCUCAUGCCUUAUAUACCUUUCUGCCACCACUUCCUGGGAUUAGAUGUGUGAGACACCAUGCCUGGCUGUUUCCAGUGUGGCUUUGAACUCACAGAGAUCUGGAUGGAUCUCUGCCACCAGAAUGCUAGGAUUAAAGGCGUGUGUGCCACCAUUUUCUGGCCUCUGUAUCUAGCGGCUGUUCUGUUCUCUGACCCCAGAUAAGUUUAUUAGGGUGACAAUAUAUUGGGGGACACAGUAUAUCACCACGCACACCCAUGCACACAGUGACAGCAGUGAUUGGGCUCAGUGGGUCAUGAAAAGAAAACCUGGGAUCUGGAGGGGGUAUGGCAGGAGGAGCUUGAGGGGAAUUGGAGAGUGUCUGUGCCUAAAAUACAUUGUAUACAGUAUGAAACUUUCAAAGAAGGAAUGGAAAAGAGAGAUGUAAGAGAAGAUUUCAUCUGUUAUCUUUAGAUGAGCUGCUUUUAUGAAUUGUUGAGUCUUUUUUGGAUGGAAUGAACUAAUUCAAGAGCAAAUAUUGAAAUGUCUAUGUCCUGGUCACACCCCAGCCUGUGGCACUCUCUCCAGAUACAUGUUCCUGCAGCCUUUCCCCUGCAGCUCCAGACCACCAGACAGGCAGGUCAGCAGCCGUCACCAAUGCCUCACCUGACUGACCUUUGGGGUUAUAAAUGGACAGCAUUGUGUAUGCAACCUUUCUCACGGCUCUCAGUGUGUCUCUCAGCGGAGGCGCUCAACUCCUGAGAGUCCCUCACUGCUAAGCGGUGGGGGGAGCGCAUAACCCUGUAGUCAGAUGGCAAUGUGUGGUAGAGAAAUCACCACUGAAAAUUCCCUGCGAGGAAUAGACAAGAACUGCCGUUUGACAGCAGAGACCUCAACGAUGCCCUGGCUUCCUUCAGGGCUUGUGUUUCCCCAGAAUUCCUAACAGAAGACAGAGAGAAGGAUUUCAGGCACCUGAGGGGUAAGAGCCUCUUGGAUGAACACGCUGGCUGAGAGGACAGCCUAGGAUAGGAUCCUUUCAAAUGUACACCAAGCGUGGGGAGAAAGAUGAGCUCAAUUCUACCUCGAUUUAGAGUAGAUGUUCACGAGGAAUAAAAGACAGGACAAUCUUAGUUUGCCAAACACAGCAAUGACUUCAGCGCAAACACCACAAGAGAGGGGCUUCACAGAGCACGGCUGUCUCAUCCCAUUGUGAUUCAGAGUUUAAUCGUUACCACAACACAGGAACAACGAAAUGGAAGCGUGCGGAGUGCAGGAGGCCUCAGGAAAUGAUCUCUUGGGUUUCCCGAGUUGAAGCUACCUCUGUCCUCCGUGCCCAUGUUUGAGCUUCAUUUUCGACAUUUAUUUUGGAAAAUUCAAAUUUUCACUGUAAACCUUUCAGCAAGAAAUAUGUUUUGUACACCCGAGAAACCGAGGUAGGCUGUGAGAUACACAGCAUCAUGGGGAUACAAGUCUGCAGCACUUCAUUAGAAGUGCAGGGACUCUGAAAACGGCUGCAGGGUCUGGAUCUGCCUUCAGUGCACAUGCACGUGGUGAGGCAGCAGCAUCCUCUCCACUUGGCUUUACACGUGUACCCACCCCGUCGUCACUAGCUCCAGACACAAAGCCAGGGGCUUGCUUCUUGUCUCUGGGCACCCAGGCAGAGACGAUGCAGUUUUGAUCCUGAACCUCACAUUCCAGCAGAACUUCAUGGUCCUUUGCUGCCACGUGGAACUUGCUCCCUUGAGCCACACUGCAGGCAGGUCUUUUCAGUAUGUUUUGUAGUAGCAGAAAAUGACGUCAGCAGCCUGAACCCUGUCUGUCAGGGAGAUACCGAUGUGUUCUCGCUUGUCUUAUCUCGAAGCUUGUCGGUCUGUCUGGAUUUGGGGUAACCUAGGAGACCAUAUCUGUGCAAGCAAGUAUGUCUAGAAAACUUUAGCUGAGGGGAGGAAGGCCCACCCUAAAUGUCGAUGGGUGCUUCUCGGGGACUUGGGUCCCAGACCAAACAUGAAGAAGAAAUGCAUCUAAACAGCAGCGUUUGUCUCAUGCUUCCUGACCGCAGAUGCGGUGUGAACAGAUAGCUCAUUCCUUUUGCCAGUCUUUUUCUGUCAUGAUGGAAAACUGCCAACCACGAGCUGAAAUAACCCUUCCUUCCUUCAGUUGCCUUUUUUUUUUUUUUUAAGUAUUUGGUCACAGUGAUAAGAGAAUCAAUCAACACGUUGAUUUCGCUCCUGUUUGGUAGUGUUUCAUCCACAGUGUGGUGAUCAUAGUCUGCAUAGUUUUCAUUACUAAGUAAACGCUUCCUCACACACUCACAAAAUACUGGUUUUGAUGAAAUAUUUUAUAGACAGGGGCCCUACUGGAAUGAAUCUGGCUAGAGGUCUAGAUGGGUGGGCACUGAGAUACAGCAGACUCACCUAGCUUGGCAUCUCUUUGGGGAAUAUAACUGUCAGUUCCAAAGACAAAAUGGGAUUGUCUUCCCUCUGUCAAGGACAGGGAGGGCAAUGCCAUAGGGGAUGGGGCUGCAAAUGCCACCAAAGGUAGAAAAGCAAAAACACCCUGUCAGAACCUCGAAACUCAAUGCUCCCCAGCAGAUCAGAGUUCUUCCUCACACCCCCACUCCAAGGUCCUUCUCUUCCAGUCAGUGAUCUCAUGGUUGCUACAGACACCGUUUGAGGAUGGGACUUAAAAACAGGUGUUGUAAGUCAGCCGGUUGUGUGGUCACGGUUUUUGGUAAGCUUGUCUUGGAGAGAUGGUCUCAGUGUGCCCUUCGAAGUGUGUACAGAUCUGGAGCUUGGGUGCAGUGUUUCUGAGCUCUUUCUCUCAUAUGCUUUACACGGUAUAAUGGAAGAACCAGGCAGCAUCCUUAUAUUCCUGGAGCUCCCUGGAGACUCUCUAGUGUUGGAUACACACUGAAAGCCUGAAGAAGCCGGAGUGUGGUCCCCACGGAAGAGGGCAGCAACAGUGGGGGUGAUGGCAGAAAGGAGAAAGAUGUAUAAGGCGUGAAGACCAGAAAUUAGAAGCAUUUGGCUGGUUAAGCUUUCAGGCUUUCAAGAAGCAGUUCAGCUGAGAGCCAUUCAGAUAUUGAGGACACAGAGGCUUCCAAUCUCAGGAAACAAGACCAGCUGAGGAACUGGCGAGUCCAUUCCUUUAGUCUGAUUACAGCCUACUUCUUUGAGACUCCAUCAUUUAUCAAAGACUAGCUGAGACCUCCAGCCUUGUGGACUGAACAUCUACUGGAUUCUUGGACCUUCCGUUGGUAGACAGCCAUUGUUGGACUAGAUGGACCACAGCCUCUGCUGUGAGGAGAGCAGCGUGUGCCUUGUCUUUCUGUGGUCCCUGAAACAGUGGAGCCAACCAACUAUGAACCUGGGGGAGCCUUCACCAAACAAAUUUCACUCAUUAAGUUCCUUCCGUCUGGUCUUUCGAUGCCACUGAGGGAAAGCAGCUGUGUUAGGCAUUUGCCUUGGUGCUGUGAUAAAACUCCUGGCAAAAAUAAGGAAGAACCAACGUACUGUGGGUCACAGGCUGAGGCCCCAGGGGCUCAUCACGGCAGGGAAAGAAGGGAAGUGUGGAGUGACUGCUUGCACUGCAUCUGAGGCUGGACGCAGAGAGAGAUACAGGUGCAAUGUGACCAGCCACCCCACGGAGCCACAGUAAACCCUCCCUUCCUCAGGCUGCCCGUCACAUUGUCAAGAGUGACAGAAGUGAUGAGUGCAUUGGGGGAAGCCACAUGAAGAUUCCCUUCCUUCACUGAGUGUGUUUCGGCUUUGAUAGAUGCUGCUGGGCUCUUAAAAUGAAAGGAAGGACAGAGACCUGAGAAGAAAGAAAGAAAGGAGUAGCGGACACCAUGAGCUCUUCUACUCAGUUUGCCCUGGGCACACUCAGAAAACUUUGUUUGAGCUGGUCUUCACUGGAGUGGCUGUGGCUCCGCUCAGAACUGACAGAAUGACAGUGCAGAGGGUGAUGGAGGAGCGAUGUUUGUGUCCCGCGCUGCCAUCAUGAAAAACCGCAAACUUGGCACCCAAAACAGCAGAGACAUGUCCUUUGUCAGUCGUACAGCGCAUAAGGCCAAGUGGAGCUGUGGUGGAGCCGCGGUCCCUCUAAGACUCUGGGCAGCAGUCUCCUCCACCUCUCCCUGGCAUUGCUGGGGUGUGGCAGAACCAUGCCAGUUUCCACCUGUUGCUAAUCUGUAUGAGUUACUCAUCUUGUGUAACCAGACAACUUAAGGGAUAAAGGGUUAUUUUAUCUCGCUGUUUGAGGGGACAGUCCAUCGUGGUGGGAAAGGCCGAGUGGUUGGGGAGUGAGGCAGCUGGUCACAUCUUGUCUAUGGUUAGGAAGCAAGAGGCACACAGGAUGCUCAGCUCACUUUCUCCUUUUCAGUCUGGGAUUCCAGCCCAUGAAACAGUACACCCACUCUUAGGGUGUGUUCCCUCACCCCCAAUUAGGCCAGUCUACAGAGUCCCUCAUGGACGUGUCCAGAGGCUUGUCUCCCAGCCGACACUGCACCCUGCCAAGCAGCCCCUCUGGCUGCAUGAGGAAUCUCCACUUCUGGCAGGGAUACCAACACCAGCUCAGCAGUCACAUCUAGGGCCACACUCAUUGUAAUUUUCACGUAUUUCCAAAAGAGGUCAUCACACAGGUACUAGGAUUAGGACCGGAGCAUACAUUCUGUGCGCAAUCUCACCUAAGGGGAGAGAGAGGAAGGACAACCGUGGUGCUUGGGUGGACGUUAGCAGUCCCGGCUGAGGUGGCAGAGGGAGGACAGGGUGAGCAGGAGGACCCUCUGCUGAAGCGGAUGCUGAACAUGAAGACACUAACUACUGCAAGUCCCCCUCUAGCCGCUCCACUCCAGUUUCCAUUCGGAUGCCUUUGCAAGUGUGGGGUUACGUCACCGACAGUAUUCAAGAGUGGAUAGAAUUUAAAUAUCUUGAUUUGUGGGGCAAAGUACACAGUCUGUCUUUCAAGUUUUGGCUAGACAGGUACCUGGAACUGGGUCAAGGUAAGCAGGGACAAUGGAGAGAGAGGCGAUGACUUCAUCUGGAGUUCUGACUUCUGGCACACACUUCAAAGGCAGACAGCCUGUGGCCCCUUGGGGACCCUGCUGUCUGAUCCCCACUGUCCUGAGAGUCACUGGCACCGAGAGGCACAGGGAGUGUGCUGCCUGGAGUCAUAUACUUCCUCCUGCUCCAAAGGUGAGAAGCUUGGCAUUAGAUAGAAAUAGAAAGCAGACAAUCGAGGUCUGGACUCCCCACACCAUACUAGCUGGACUUAGAAAGUAACUACAAAGCACAAGGGUUACUUUUGCUGCCCGAGUUAAAAAUACAAAACUAUAGCAGUGCGUUUCCCAACAGCACGCUCAUGACACACUAGGGUUUUUGAGUUUUCUCCGGAGGAGCUGGAGGGCUCUCUAGUGCUCAAAGAGCUAAAUUAAGACUGAUUUGCUUUAGUCACAGAAAUAAAGAGAAGCAAUAGGAAUUGGGAGGUGGGACUGGGAAGGACCCAAGUUUUCUACUGGUCAGACCCAGGUUCAACCCACCACCUCUAGCUGCAGAUACCAAUUUCACCAUUUCGUGUAAAUGGACAUGUACGUAGCUUAAGCCAUUGUUGUGUGUGUGUGUGUGUGUGUGUGUGGAGGGGCGUUGCACCUGAGAAUGCCUGAUACUUUCUGGGGCCCUUGGCAGGUAUACCUCCCUACAGUGCCUUUGUGAAAGGGGAAACCAGUAAGAGAAGUAGGUGGUGGGUUGAACUGUAUUCCCUCUGAAGAAUAUAAAGCUGACUCACUCAUACUUUAGAGUGUGGCUUUAUUUGUAAGUAUUGUCUUUACAGAGGUAAUCCAGUUGCAGUAAAGUCACUGGAGCAGGGCCUGGUCUAAUGCAAUAGGAUCUGUGUCCUUGUAAUAAAGGAAGAUUGGGACACAGAGACAAACAUGCACACAUGAAAGAACACACAGAGAAGAUGAGUGAUCUUAAAUGUCAACUUGAUUGAACUAACAAGGAUCCGAAAGCCAGAUAUGGAGGCCUACACUUGAGAUCCCAGUAUUCAGGAGGCUCUGGGGCAGGAGGACUGUUGAAGGGUCAAGGCCACCCUGAACUGCCCAGUGAGUACCAGGCCAGCAUGAGCAACAGAAUAAGACCUUAUCACAAAUAAAUACUAAAGCCAAUGAGAGACGGAGAGGGAGCGAAACACCCAGCCAUGUCUCUGGUGUGUCUGUGAGGGCAUCUUCAGUGCUGUUCAGAUCCUGGGGGCUCUGAGCCAGUGGAUGGCUUAAUGCAUUGAUGAAUUCAAGAUGAUUGUGUGAGUGGAAGUGAAAGGUAGGAGAUGGGGCCUCGUUGUUGGUAGCAUCUAGGAACGUGUUCCUGGAGGCCAUGGUUCACCAUGACCUCUUCCCAUACUUACAGCUUUUGCUUCCUGUCUGCCACGAAGCUCUUUAGACACAUACUGCAUCUUCCAUGAUGUUCCACGGCUCAGAGGAGUGGAAAUAGCCAAGUGAUCCUGGAUUGAACUCUAUGGGUUACUCACAAGUAAAAGAUUCUUCACUUAAGUUACUUCUGUCAGGGACUUGGUCAGAAGGAUGAGAGAAAGAACUAAGAGAGGGGCCACCCACAAACCACAGAAAGUGGCUCAGAGCAGGCCCCUCCGCAGGGUCUCCAGGGAAUCAACACUUCCAGCUCCAACAUUUGGAUUUCAGAGGAGUGAGCAAUGCAUUUGUUAACGUCCACUCUGGACUGCGGGACAUUGGCCCGGGACACCUACACACAAGGACAGAGGCAUCACUACCGUGGAACGCCUGCAGCCACGGUGGGUGUGUCUGGGUGGGAGGUCCAGCACCCACUCGGACAUGCCACACCAGCUAGGGCUAUUUUGCUGAAGGGCCUCCAUAGGCUCAGAGAAGGUUUCCCUCGUCCGUGGAGUCACGGCACUUGCUUUGGAGGAGCCUCCAUAGCAGGCAUUUUGUUGCUUCGUUUGCUUUCCUGACUCACUAGGUCUACAGGGAGGCUAGAGCAGCCUGAGCACAGGGGAAACCUUGGGUGCAGCAGGGCUGCCGAAGAUCCCUGCAGCACACAUCGA